UUUACCCAAAUUAGUGCUGAUAAGUCUGUGGCAGAGUCGGGAUUUCAGUUUACCAUUUUCAGCAUCUGAGUUCCCAGUGCGCCCUACUAUUUCCCUCACUGAAAUGGAAACCCAUGUGAGGCAGAUGGUUUAGUACUGCAGCACAUGCUACAUCUGCCCAUCAUGCCCCAUCUGUCUGUCUCAGGGUAACUGGAGGAGCUGGAAGUGUCAGGCCUGUGGGGAUGUCAUCUUCCACCUUCGGUAAAACCUGAAGCUCUGUGUGGUCGGACCACUGAAGGCCCUGCAAAGGCUCAUGCCUCAUGCAAAUAAUCACUCUGUACAGCUGAUCUUGUUUUCCUAAGUGCCCUGGCUUCUUCCACGGGAAGUGUCACUGUGGCUCUCCAUAGGGUUGUGGCACUUGUGCACUUAGACAUUUUGGGCAUUCCAAAGCAUGGCCAGACCCAAGGUCCUCCGUGGCUGAAGGCAGCUGGGAAGACCCCAGGUUGGAUGCUCUAUGCAUGCAGUUGAAGGUGUGGGGAAGGAACAUCGCCCUGCAGCCCCGCACCAGGGUGGCAGCACCCAUUUCCUGCAAGGAGCACAGUGAGGCAAGGAUGGAGCAGCCAGCAGAGCAUAGGGGCUCAGUGUGACUCUCAUGCUCAAGACCCAGAGGGGCCAUUGACCCUCUCGUGGGAUACCACAGUCCUGCAGAAUUAUGUUCCCCUAAAUUAACAAAGAUAGUGCUACCACAUAUGACAUUAGCCCCAGAGAGUCAUCACAGGGCACCCAGCUACAACCAAGAAGCGUUUCCCCAUUGGGUGCUUUCAUACUUUUACCCCUCUGUGAUGAAGCCUGUGAGGAGAUCACCCAGGCAGCUGAGCUCUGCCAGGAGUGACAGGUAGAAGAACUGGAGUGGGAGCCUGCCUGUGCUCAGGCAUGUACUAAAAUGACAGAAAUAGCUUAAUUUGUACCUUUGGUUAUUUUGGUGCAAGUCCUCGUGGGGAUGCUGAGGUUAGAACAAAAGCAUUCUAUUUUAAUUUAGUGUAAUUAUAGCUUGUCUACUUAGAAAAGCUGAAUUGCUUUAACAAUACUAUUGCAGCUAACUCCCCAGAGUAUGGAUGCAGUUGUGCCAGGAUAAUGCUAAUAUGGCUUAUUCUUGUUGGAAAAGGGAAAAACAUUAUGUGUGCAGAUGCAGGUUCACUUUGCAAACAGCUGCAGCUGUUUGAAAGGUUACCACCAGGGCAGCCUAUUACCACGCUUGUUCUUGGGGCUCCUCCCUCCAUAGCAGAGCCUUAAAGGCAAGUGUGCUCCACAGCCACCUGGCUGCAAAAUUACAGUGUUUAAUUCAGGACUGGGCACCUUCAGCCCAGCAGGUGUUCCACUCAGAGGCAUGAGAAGACACUGCGUGGCUGCUCUGCUGAAAUGGUGAGGGAGCUCAGAGCUACCUGUAGUGUGGAAACAGCUUGAGCAGCGAUGUUGUUUCAACAGUGAACUGCACAGCUUAGUAUAGGAGUGGUACAGGUGACAAUCACAUUCCUGACCAAAAUCAGGUACCAGUCCCUGUACCAUAAAUUGUUACAGGUCCUUCUUUUCCUUCAAUGGAGGCAAAAGGAAAAUGGAUAAAUUGCACAGACUUGUAUCCCUUCUUCUAAAUUGAAAACAAAUCACUUUUCAGUGAAACUCCAAAGGUAGCAAGGAUCUGCACAAGACAAGGAACAGUAUCUUCAGUCAUUUCUGGGGAACUGCAUCGAGCUGGAUGCUGUUACUUCUGGUGCAUUUCCUCCCUACUGCUCUGUGCAGAGGGCAGAACCACAUUUGCAGCCCAGUAUCUCAUUUUUAUUCUGCGUGGUUCUAAAUGUAUAUAUAGGUGCAUCUCUAUACAAGAGGAGGCAAUGCUAACAAAAGACACGUACAAUGGGAAGAGGUACAGCUUUUAAGGCUGUAGUUUCCCCUGAGCAGUACCCAAGAAAGUUGUCUCCUGCACACAUGAGCUUUGAUAGAAAGGCCCGUUGUGCCUGAGGAGCAGAGCUGUCAAAAGGGGUCUCCAUCUCUGUGCCAAAAUGCUUGUUACCCUUCUCCUGUCAGAGCCCAGCAGCUGGUAGUUUUCCAUCUCUAGAAAUCCAGGGGAACCUUCCACCUCGGGGAACAAGAAACUGGAGAAAAGUCAAUAGACCAGACAAGAUUCAUACCACAUUUAUUCAAGGAAAGAAAUAAAAGGAGUACCAUAAUUACAUUUUAACUACAUUUUGCUCUCAGCACCAUCCCAUAAAUCAUGUACCUUGUUAGUACUGUGGAAUAGCAUAUGAAGCUGGAAGUCAGCACACAGUAAAUACGUUGACAGUAAGUACAGUAAAUACUGUUCACUAGUUGGCUUUGGCCAUCUUGGGCAGUGUGUCUUGCUGAAGUCAUGGCAGCUGAUGGAUUUUUGCGCCCUUGGUCUGUUUUGUCUAUUUUUGCUGAAGAGAAGGUGAGCAGGCAUUCUGCAAUCUCUGACACCAAGCUGGAAUAUGGCACAACUGAGGGCACAAGGAUGUACGAGCAAUGUCACCUCUUAGCUGCAGUGGCAAAUGGCAAAUUCGUGUCCUGUAUGAGAACUCCUUAAGAGAAAAGUUGCAAACCACAAGGAAAAAUCCUAAACUUGAAAAGCUUGACACAGAGAGAGGCGAGGGAGUGAGGCAGCACUCUCUGAGCAUGACAUGAUGCACUGCUGCUUGUUCCAGGGAAGGGUAUGGCUGCUCUGUACGGCUGUCACCAAGAUCCUGUUCUUUAUUGAAAAGAGCAACCCUGAGGUCUGGAAAAAACCCCAUCUCUAAUGCACCCCUUCAUUUUCCAAAAAGCAGGAUCCUGGUGACUUGGUGGAGCGGGUCAGUGGCAUGCAAGGUGGUGAGAAAAGAAAGGGGAAGAAAAGGGAAGGAGAGAGGAAGGGAGGGAGUGAGGGAGGGAGAAAGAGAGAGAGCAAGGAAAGGACAGCAACCUGGGAAGGAAAGGGCAAUUUAUAUAAAGGAGUGCUCUGUCUCUAGAGAAGUGCCUUUGAGACUGUUCUUUGAGAAAUAUGAGGGGAAAGGGCUAGAGAACUACAAGAUACUGCCACUUUUAUUAUAUAUUUGAUUUGUAGUUUUAAAAAAUUAUAUUUUUACCAGGGCUUUUUUUAAUAACAUUUUCAUGCCCAAAGUAUUGAUUUCAGGGACGUUUUCACUACCUGGGGAAAGGGAUCAGGAAGUUGCACACAUUACUAACACAAUAAAUUUUUGCCACCCUACCAGCUAAGUUCUGAUUGAGAAGAGGCUACCAAAAACUCACAGGCAAAACCAAUUGUUGAGAUAAACAUGGGGAAAACCCUACAAAACCAAAACAAAGAACAAUUGCUUCAAGCCUCCCAAAUUUCUAUUUAAUUCAGAAAACAAAUUAACUCUAACCUCUAUCUGCGGCGCCUCUGCAGGGAAACCACAGUGGGAGGUGAUCCCAGUUUGCCACAAUCUGGAGAGAGGGAGGAAAUCCAAGGACUAAACAGGAGGAGAAGAAAACAUGCUUGGACAAUGUGCUGCACACUGGUGGGACUGUCCCUGACACCAUAGUGAUGGACAUGAUCUAGUAACAGAGACAGAUGACCCAGUAGCUGAAUGACUGAUCAUCUCCCUCAGAACACAGCAGGGGAACUUCAGGCAAUGUAUCUGUAAAGCACCAAGUACCUUCCACUCUUCCCGACCCCGCCAAUUUCCUCUGCACAAACCAUCCAUAUGGAUUUGACAUGUGGCCUCUGAGAGACCCUGCAUUGUACAUCCCAGUAAGUCAAAGCGUGUAGGGUGGAGGAGCCACGUUCCUACCUAAGCUUCUGCAAGUCACUAAGGGUCAAGUUAAGUGCAAGCCUGAUCCUGUUGUCUGGACUAGGCUUGCCCAGUUCAUGCUUUAAGCUGCCCAGCCUCAGCAGGCUGGGUUUCCUCUCAGCUGCAGACCUCAAAGGAGGUGGCCCCUGUCUCGCUCCAUGUGGUCCUGGGCAGCUCAGCAUCCCCACCAGAUUGGGGGCACAUCUUCGUGGCUGGCUCAUCCUCACCUGCCUGAGGGGCUUCAAGACUUGGGGCUGGGGAAGGAGGUUGAGAAACAAGAGGGCUGUGGGACUUGAAGACUUCUCUGGAGCCAUGUAGCCCUUUCAGCAUUUCCAUGAGUUUGUUUUUCCUCUCAGACCCAGGGGCUUAUCGGCACUUCCCUGCUUCACAGGGAUGCUGCGAUGAGUAAAUCCAUUAUAAGCUGUGCAGUGCUGAGACACCAAGUCUACGGCCACACAAAUUAGUAGGAGAGGCCAAGGAAUGUUUUCCACCCCCAAGACCCAUUGGCAUGCCCAGCCAUCGCCAAAGGGAUGUGCUCCUGUCCCGCCAGAGCAGGAGAGCUGUGCCCAAACCACCUGCAGAGAACCACACUAGCUCCUGAAAUAUGCCUGGGCAUUGGCAGCAAACUCAUGCAAGGGCAAUGCCAACCAUUUAAUUGCAUGGGCAACUGCCUGGGCCUGUGCCCUGCCUCUACUUUAUUAAUUUAUUAGUACCUUGCUGCUAGCUUACACUCGCAUAGACAGAGAGCUUGCCAUUAGCAAGGGCAAUAAAGUGCCUGUGAGAGAAAAGUCCAAAGUGUUUUAUUGGUUUCAAAAUAAAAAGGUGCUUUCUCCUC